UUUACAUGUUGAAUUGCGGGU
rnacentral:piRNA from 1 species